UCCCUGGUAGUAUAUCGGUUUAGUACACGCCCCUGUCACCAGCAUCUUGGAAUCUUCCUCAGUGCCGCGCGAAAGCUGGGUUCGACUCCCAGCCAGGGAG